GACGAACGCUGGCGGCGUGCUUAACACAUGCAAGUCGAACGGAAAGGCCCUGCUUUUGUGGGGUGCUCGAGUGGCGAACGGGUGAGUAACACGUGAGUAACCUGCCCUUGACUUUGGGAUAACUUCAGGAAACUGGGGCUAAUACCGGAUAGGAGCUCCUGCUGCAUGGUGGGGGUUGGAAAGUUUCGGCGGUUGGGGAUGGACUCGCGGCUUAUCAGCUUGUUGGUGGGGUAGUGGCUUACCAAGGCUUUGACGGGUAGCCGGCCUGAGAGGGUGACCGGCCACAUGGGGAAUGAGAUAGGGCACAGACUCCUACGGGGGGCAGAGGGGGGAAAUAUGGCAAAAGGGGGGGAGGCCGGAUGCAGCAACCCCGCGGGGGGGAGGAGGGCUUUGGGUUUGUAACCCGCUUUCGCCGGUGACGAAGGGGGAGGGAGGGUAAGGGGUAAAAAACCACCGGCAAACUACGGG
rnacentral:rRNA from 1 species